rfam:Peptococcaceae bacterium BRH_c23 BRHa_1006643, whole genome shotgun sequence.
UAGAACUAACAUCUCAAUGAAUCAAAUGAUAGGGUAACGCCUUGAAGGGUUCACUUUAAUACUCCGACAGGUAUGGAAAUAGAUAAGUAUAGAAAUGUCUGAAGCACGGUAAAGUCGCAUGAGUUUUGCCCUGUUUUGCAAGAAAUGGGAAACAUGUCCAGAGGUGGAUGGUGCAGUCUAAGGAAAUAUUGUGA